rnacentral:rRNA from 1 species
CAAUAGCGUAUAUUUAAGUUGUUGCAGUUAAAAAGCUCGUAGUUGGAUUUCGGAUGGGACUUGCCGGUCCGUCGUUUCGAUGUGCACUGGCCAGUCCUAUCUUGUUGUCGGGGACUAGCUCCUGGGCUUCACUGUCCGGGACUAGGAGCUGACGAGGUUACUUUGAGUAAAUUAGAGUGUUCAAAGCAAGCCUACGCUCUGAAUACAUUAGCAUGGAAUAACACGAUAGGACUCUGGCUUAUCUUGUUGGUCUGUGAGACCAGAGUAAUGAUUAAGAGGGACAGUCGGGGGCAUUCGUAUUUCAUUGUCGGAGGUGAAAUUCUUGGAUUUAUGAAAGACGAACUUCUGCGAAAGCAUUUGUCAAGGAUGUUUUCAUUAA